AACUUAAUGUCAUAUUAAAUAAGUUAUACAUUAUUAAGUGUUUUGAGAAGUGGUAUUUUAAUCUAUGUUCUGUGAAUGACAAGUGUUAUCUGUCAAGUGUCAAAAAACUUGAGAAACUUUUAAGAAGUUUGAAUUUGUAAAAUUUGUUUGUAAACACAAUGCCAAAGGCAAGAAUAAUUUCCCACGCCAGGUGGAGACCCUGCUAAAUAAUGCAGUAACAGCGCGUGGUCGUGUGAUGAGGGUGCCUUGGCCAGUUAGCGCCUCGAUGAGCUCUGGCGCAACACGGCCCGGAUACUAAACAGCAUGGGGGUGGGACGACUUAGGAGGCACAAGCUUGGAAAACGCUCUCAUCUUGUUCUACAGCAGCGCCUGCACCUGUCCCACCAUCUACCAGUGUUGGAACUCUUCCAAGUGCAUGAGAGUUUAAAACAAUAUAUUUUAUUGCAUAAUUAUUUGUUUGUAAAAACGAUAAGUACAAAUGAGUAGGGAGGCUGUUGAUUUUUUCAUGGUUAUUUUAAUAUAUUAUAUUGUUAAUUGUUCGAAUGCUGUGAUUAUAUUAAAAUUAUAUUUUAAAUAAAAACUUAGUUUGUAAAGAGAUGAAGG